UAUAUUUCUGCAAGUCAUCUAAUUGACUGAUCACGCGUCUAUGUUUGGUUCUCUAAGUUUCGUGAUUUGCGCUGAGAAAAAAAAAAAAAGGAAUGUUAGACCAGUUCGACAUGCUCAUGUCACAUUUUAUGUUUUUAAUCAAUUGCAAGCGACCGGAAGAAGAUGUUCACAUAUAUGAAAGUGUAAGGUGGCUCCACAUCACCCUUCGCGCAAACAUGCAUUCACGCCCACGCAGACGGCCAUUCACUGCUCUCGCGCUGCUUGUCAUGUCAUGUCCACCUACUCACCCGCGUGCGAAUUACAGGUCCACAAUCCGCAAGAGACGCGUCGAUAUACGAUAGUUUCACCUUCAGCUAUCAGAAAUGUGUCAAACCCUGUUAUUAUUUGGGAAUAUGACUGUAGCGAGAGCAGCAAAAGUAAGGUUUGUUAGGUGGGUUGCGCAGAGGACUUUUCAUACGGUGUCUCUCUCUACAGAGGCACAUCGCUUGAUUACUGAACACUUCAUAUCUGCCAGUGGAUUCCAAGAUCAUCCCUGCAAAAAUAUUGAGGAAACAGCCAUGUCCACACCAUGGGAUUUUAAACCAUUUCACCAAGAGCUUCAACAAACCUUUUCAAACGUUUCUCGGUCUCAAUGAAAACUGGGCUUAUCUUAAAAGCAAAUCUGCUGUGUGAACCUUAAGAAGCUGAAAAGCGGCUGCGAGGUUUACACAGUCACUCUCCUUGGAAAUUUCUAUUGUGAAGACGAAAACGUUUUACGUCUUUUCUGCCACCAUCAUCAUUUUUUGUGUGUGUCUGUGUUAACGGUUUAUUAUACAUUCUCAAUACACACCUAAGAUAGGUGUAGAUAGGGCGUACAUUUUAUAUCCAACAUGACAGAUGACUCAAUUCAUAUCUGAUCUCUUUUAACUAUUUUAAAUUUGCACACAGGAUUAUCCAUUUGGUAAUUCUUCACAUGCUGAACGAGGAAACACAUUCAUUUUAGUUCAGUAAUGUACUAGGCCAUGAAUGAAAUACUGAACAAAAUCAAAAUGAUUCUUCACCAUACUGCCCUCAAACUCUCAAAGGAGUUCAACAUUCUGAGUAGUCCUGUUAACACUUAAACAAGUGCAGUAGAACAAGAUUAACUUCUGAGGUUAUUAUUUUCCAAGUGUAUGGAAAUUGAUUAUAUUUGUUAAUAAUAGUAAACAUUCAGGGAGCAUUACAGGUCAGGGAAAUCUGUUUGAUGAAUAAGUGCCAUUGCUGAAUGUAAGGAGUGCCCAAAAAAAAUAAAUAAAAUUAAAUAAAAAAAAAAUUGUGGCGA
ensembl:lncRNA